rnacentral:rRNA from 1 species
AGCGAACGCUGGCGGCAGGCCUAACACAUGCAAGUCGAACGAACCUUUCGGGGUUAGUGGCGGACGGGUGAGUAACACGUGGGAACGUGCCUUUAGGUUCGGACUAACUCAGGGAAACUUGUGCUAAUACCGAAUGUGCCCUUCGGGGGAAAGAUUUAUCGCCUUUAGAGCGGCCCGCGUCUGAUUAGCUAGUUGGUUGAGGUAAUGGCUCACCAAGGCGACGAUCAGUAGCUGGUCUGAGAGGCUGAUCAGCCACAUUGGGACUGAGACACGGCCCAAAAUCCUACGGGAGGCAGCAGUGGGGAAUCGUGCGCAAUGGGCGAAAGCCUGACGCAGCCAGGCCGCGUGAAUGAUGAAGGUCUUAGGAUUGUAAAAUUCUUUCACCGGGGACGAUAAUGACGGUACCCGGAGAAGAAGCCCCGGCUAACUUCGUG